AGUGAACGCUGGCGGUAGGCCUAACACAUGCAAGUCGAACGGCAGCACAGUAAGAGCUUGCUCUUACGGGUGGCGAGUGGCGGACGGGUGAGGAAUACAUCGGAAUCUACUUUUUCGUGGGGGAUAACGUAGGGAAACUUACGCUAAUACCGCAUACGACCUACGGGUGAAAGCAGGGGAUCUUCGGACCUUGCGCGAUUGAAUGAGCCGAUGUCGGAUUAGCUAGUUGGCGGGGUAAAGGCCCACCAAGGCGACGAUCCGUAGCUGGUCUGAGAGGAUGAUCAGCCACACUGGAACUGAGACACGGUCCAGACUCCUACGGGAGGCAGCAGUGGGGAAUAUUGGACAAUGGGCGCAAGCCUGAUCCAGCCAUACCGCGUGGGUGAAGAAGGCCUUCGGGUUGUAAAGCCCUUUUGUUGGGAAAGAAAGCAGCAGGUUAAUACCCCGCUGUUCUGACAGUACCCAAAGAAUAAGCACCGGCUAACUUCGU
rnacentral:rRNA from 1 species